GACGAACGCUGGCGGCGUGCUUAACACAUGCAAGUCGAACGGAAAGGCCCUGCUUGCAGGGUGCUCGAGUGGCGAACGGGUGAGUAACACGGGGGUGAUCUGCCCCUUACUUUGGGAUAAGCCUGGGAAACUGGGUCUAAUACUGGAUAGGACCAUGCUGUAGGGGGUGUGGUGGAAAGAUUAGUUUCGGUAAGGGAUGAGCUCGCGGCCUAUCAGCUUGUUGGUGGGGUAAUGGCCUACCAAGGCGUCGACGGGUAGCCGGCCUGAGAGGGUGGACGGCACCAUUGGGACUGCGAUACGGCCCAGAAUCCUACGGGAGGCAGCGGUGGGGAAUAUUGCACAAUGGGCGCAAGCCUGAUGCAGCGACGCCGCGUGGGGGAUGACGGCCUUCGGGUUGUAAAGUCCUUUCAGCCAUGACGAAGCCCUUGUGGUGACGGUAGUGGUAGAAGAAGCACCGGCUAACUACGUG
rnacentral:rRNA from 1 species